ACUCCUACGGGAGGCAGCAGUGGGGAAUAUUGGACAAUGGGGGAAACCCGUGAUCCAGCAAUGCCGCGUGCGUGAAGAAGGCCUUAGGGUUGUAAAGCGCUUUCACCUGUGAUGAUGAUGACAGUAGCAGGAGAAGAAGCCCGGCUAACUCCGUGCCAGCAGCCGCGGUAAUACGGAGGGGGCUAGCGUUGUUCGGAAUUACUGGGCGUAAAGGGGCGUGUAGGCGGCGGAUUUAGUUAGGCGUGAAAGCCCCGGGGCUCAACCUGGGGAACUGCGCUUAAUACUGAUUUGCUAGAGUCCGGGGAGAGGCGAGUGGAAUAUCCAGUGUAGAGGUGAAAUUCGUAGAUAUUGGAUGGAACACCAGUGGCGAAGGCGGCUCGCUGGACCGGAACUGACGCUGAGGCGCGAAAGCGUGGGGAGCAAACAGGAUUAGAUACCCUGGUAGACUGUCA
rnacentral:rRNA from 1 species